AAUGAAUUGAAAAGUGCCUUCAAAACCCAUGAUCCUCAGGAGUCAUCUGUUCGAAAACUGAUGGCUGAAACAUAUCCCAUCCAGCGUGAAACCAUCAACGAUGGAACCAAUGUAAAGGUCCUAAAGGAAGAGUGGCCAUUUCUAUUUGAAGCUGCUCACCUGUUUGAUCAUGCAUCUAGACUCCUUGGCUUUUCGGUACAAAACAAGCUGGCACAGGAGCUUUCCAAAAAAGAACCGGGCAUCAACAACUUCCUUGACACCAAAGGGAUGAAGAUGGGUGAAGGUCCAGUACAGCUGAUCUGUGGCAUUGUGAGAUACUUCAAGGAAAACCCUGAUCACCUUUUCUGCAAAAAUGAGGACUCCGCGGAUGCUGAACUCAGCCUCCCCUGUACCCCAUGCAUCCUAAUCAGAGGU